rnacentral:rRNA from 1 species
GACGAACGCUGGCGGCGUGCUUAACACAUGCAAGUCGAACGGAAAGGCCCUGCUUUUGUGGGGUGCUCGAGUGGCGAACGGGUGAGUAACACGUGAGUAACCUGCCCUUGACUUUGGGAUAACUUCAGGAAACUGGGGCUAAUACCGGAUAGGAGCUCCUGCUGCAUGGUGGGGGUUGGAAAGUUUCGGCGGUUGGGGAUGGACUCGCGGCUUAUCAGCUUGUUGGUGGGGUAGUGGCUUACCAAGGCUUUGACGGGUAGCCGGCCUGAGAGGGUGACCGGCGACUUGGAGGGUGAGAAGGGGGGAAGGGGUCCCCGGGGGGAAGGGGGGGGGAAUAGUGCAAAGGGGGGGAGGGGGGGAGGGAGAGGCGGCGGGUGCGGGAUGGGGGGCUGGGGGGUGAAAAACGGUUGCGGGUGGGAGGAAGGGUGAGGGGGGGAAAGGGGUAAAGAACAACGGGGAAACGAGG